AGGAGGAACAACUGCAGUGGCAGCAGCCAGCUCUGAGCCCUGGAGUCAGCCCUCGCAGUAACUACAGAGCUCUUGGUCUGCAGGGCCUGGAGGCUCCUGGGCAGG
rfam:Canis lupus familiaris chromosome 9, whole genome shotgun sequence.